rnacentral:tRNA from 1 species
GCCCACAUCGCGCAAUUGGUAGACGCAGCGGGCUUAAGAUCCGUCCAGUGUGGGUUCGAGUCCCACUGUGGGCACCA